AGAGGUAAAUACUGCUGCUCAUACUUUCAAGAGAAAAAUGGGAAAUGCGUUGCUUGUAAAGUUGGAUUUACAUCUCGAUUUGGCAGCCCCUGUUUACCAUGUAAUCAGAAUUCAUACGGGGAAAGAUGUAUUCAUAAAUGUAAAUGCACCAAUGACAGUUUUAGAUGCGAUAAUGUCAUUGGUUGUGUGCAGAAGCUACAUAGCACUACUCAAAGUAUAG